rnacentral:rRNA from 1 species
AUUGAACGCUGGCGGCAGGCCUAACACAUGCAAGUCGAGCGAGCGGCGGACGGGUGAGUAAUGUAUGGGGACUGCCCGAUAGAGGGGGAUAACUACUGGAAACGGUAGCUAAUAACGCAUACUAUCGGAUAACCCAUAUGGGAUUAGCUAGUAGGUGAGGAAAUGGCUAACCUAGGCGACGAUCCCUAGCUGGUCUGAGAGGAUGAUCAGCGAAACGGGAACGGAGACACGGUCCAGACUCCUACGGAGGUAGCAGGGGGGAAGAUUGCACAAUGGGCGCAAGCCUGAUGCAGCCAUGCAGCGUGUAGGAAGAAGGCCUUAGGGUUGUAAAGUACUUUAAGUCGGGAGGCGUUACCGACAGAAGAAGCACCGGCUAACUCCGUGCCAGCAGCCGCGGUAAUAC